UUUCCGUAGGUGAACCUGCGGAAGGAUUAUUCAUAAUAAAGUGUUUUAUGGCACUUUUUAAAAAUCCAUAUCCACCUUGUGUGCAAUGUUAGAUCUCGUCAAUCUUGGCGAGAUUUUUAUACAUCAACUCAUUCUUUAACUAAUUUGUCUGAAAAAUAUUAUGAAUACUUAAUUCAAAAUACAACUUUCAACAACGGAUCUCUUGGCUCUC
rnacentral:misc_RNA from 1 species